GAUCAAACACAAGGCAUGCUGGGUACAAGGCUCACUUACCGACUUACUGUUGCUCGUUGGAAUCUACUGGACCACUGUCUGGACAUUAUAAUUCGGCCUGUUUUCAAUCAGACCGUUGAUGAUGGAUCGGACCUUGUUUGACAACGGGUUGUCCAGUUCUGGCAGCACACACUGAAAAAAAACAUAAGAAAGCAUUUUGUUUGGCAUCCAGGCACC